AAAACCACAAAACAGAGGAAGAGAAACACACUUUGUAUUGCUGGAAACAAAUAAAGAUAACUUUCAUACAUUAAACUAAUAACAAUUAUCUAUUUAUAAUAGGCAGAAAAAAAAUUUUCUAUUCUCUAGCCACUAUAGCCACUACAAACUAAAAACUAAAAAUAAGGAAACAUGGAAACGUGGCUAUCAGUAGCCACAAUAACAGGACACACAAACUUCACUAACUAUGACUCAUUCAAAAAACAAUUAGCUUUAGAAUCG
rnacentral:lncRNA from 1 species